GGGCACUUAGCUCAGCCUGGUAAGAGCGCUUCGUUGACAUCGAAGAGGUCGUGGGUUCAAAUCCCCCAGUGCCCACCA
rnacentral:tRNA from 1 species